CGCGAGUGUAGCGGCUCUGAG
rnacentral:misc_RNA from 1 species